UACGUAGGGUGCGAGCGUUGUCCGGAAUUAUUGGGCGUAAAGAGCUCGUAGGCGGUGUGUCGCGUCGGCCGUGAAAACCUGGGGCUCAACUCUGGGCGUGCGGUCGAUACGGGCAUCACUUGAGUUCGGCAGGGGGAGACUGGAAUUCCUGGUGUAGCGGUGAAGUGCGCAGAUAUCAGGAGGAACACCGGUGGCGAAGGCGGGUCUCUGGGCCGAUACUGACGCUGAGGAGCGAAAGCAUGGGUAGCGAACAGG
rnacentral:rRNA from 1 species